UGGGCGGCCGCUUCCCGGCCAGCCGCACGGGUAACCGCUGUGUCCCACCAGGAGCGGAGGAUGGGCGAGCCCGUGACGAAUUCCACGUACGUCCGCUGCCUGAGCUACGGGCUCUUGAGGCGGCUGGCAGAGUUCAUCGACCCGCAGGAAGGGUGGAAGAAACUUGCGGUGGACAUAACCAACCCGUCCGGUGAAAGCAGAUAUAGCCAAGCGCAUAUAAGGAGAUUUGAGACAUUUGUACAAAUGGGAAAGAGCCCCACAUGUGAAUUGCUUUAUGACUGGGGAACCACAAACUGCACGGUUGCUGAUCUUGUGGAUCUGCUGAUUAGGAAUCAGUUCCUAGCACCAGCAAGCCUUUUGCUUCCAGAAGCUGUAAGGACGCCAGAAGAAGUUACAUUACCUCUUUCUUCACAGGAAACCUUGCCUAUACAUGAGAAACAACUACCUGUACAGGAAAUAGAAGUGGCAUCUGUAAAGCUUGUUUUAGCUCAGAGUACUGAGAGGCAGCAUUCAGAUUCUUCCUACUUAAGUGAAGAAAACAGCAGCUCACAGUCCAGUAACACAGAUUUUCAGAAUUUUUUGUUUCAUGACUUGGAAAGCAUUACAAAUAAUUUUGAUGCUCGACCAGAAUCAGCUGGAGGUAAUAAACUGGGAGAAGGUGGCUUUGGCAUUGUGUUCAAAGGCUACAUCAGUGGCAAAAACGUGGCUGUCAAGAAACUCAUUGCUAUGGUUGAUGUUAGUGUUGAGGAUUUGAAACAGCAGUUUGAGCAAGAAAUAAACAUAAUGGCAAAGUGUCGGCAUGAAAAUUUAGUAGAAUUACUUGGUUUCUCAAGUGAUGGUGCUCAGCCAUGCCUGGUGUAUGAAUACAUGCCCAAUGGUUCAUUGCUUGACAGACUUGCUUGUCUGAUUUUUACUUGCCUUUUCUUCUUAAUCAAGGAUGAAACUCCACCAAUUCCUUGGAAUAUGAGGUGUAAAAUUGUUCAAGGUACAGCAAAUGGCAUCAACUUUUUGCAUGAAAAUAAUCAUAUUCACAGAGAUAUUAAAAGUGCAAAUAUCUUAUUAACUGACAUGUACGUGCCUAAAAUUUCUGACUUUGGCCUUGCAAGAGCAUCUGUAACAUUCACACAGACAAUCAUGACUGAAAGAAUUGUUGGAACAGCAGCCUAUAUGGCACCUGAAGCUCUGCGAGGAGAGAUAACACCAAAAUCUGAUAUCUUCAGUUUCGGAGUAGUGUUACUAGAAAUAAUAACAGGUCUUCCUCCAGUAGAUGAAAACCGGGAGCCACAGUUGCUGUUAAGUAUAAAAGACGAAAUUGAGGAUGAGGAAGCAACUGUUGAGGAAUAUGUUGAUGAAAAGAUGAGUGACUGGGAUGUACCUUCAAUUCAUAAAAUGUAUUCAAUUGCUGAUCGGUGUCUGAAUGACAAAAAAACCAGAAGGCCAGACAUUAAGAUGGUCCAACAGCAGCUCCAAGAGAUAAAAACUUCAUAAUGUGUUUCUUCUGACACACCAAUGUUUCUGUAAUAGAGACCCUAGUACCAAAUUAUUAAUUAGUAUUUAGUGCAACAUUAUCAGUGGUUCUGCUUUCCAGAACUUUCUAGGCACAUGUAAGGGCAAGAGGAGGUCUUCAAGCAAAUUAUUUUCAGUUUAGACAAAGUGUUAAUGGAACAACAUUACAAGUAGUUUCAUUACAGUAGCUCAUGCUGAGCAAGUAAGAGCAGAUCGAACUGUUAAAUCACCAGUCAACUACUUCAGCAUUUUAAAAGGAUAGAAGAAAUUUUUGAAGGGGCUUAUUAUUGAAAGCACAAAAACUUCAAGAGAUCCUUGGAUCCUGCUAUGGAGCCCUCCGUGCUGCUCCCAUAAAGCAAUGGGAAAGUAGCUGUUCCUAACAUAGUGAUUUUUCUCUAAUAGCAAAAGCCAGGAAUUCUGUUUCUGCUCACCUCUCUUCUUACACCCUGCAGUCACUUUCUAGUCCCAUGAAAACUGCCUAUUACAAAGAGACUGAUUCAGACAACACCAAGCUAAAGCAUCAAUCUUUAUUUAUAAAGUAAAUUACAAAAUAGAUAAGGUAAACUUCAUUAAUUUUAGCAUCUGAAGGUGGCUUUCAUUGAACACAUAAACACACUGAUAAACAAAUUUUUUAUUUACAGUGUCUAUCUGACAAAUUUUACCUUGAUUAGUUUAAUCUUUGAUAGGAGUGUUUUAAAAGAUCAAGAUUCCCUAACUUGCAACAUAAACAUUUAUUAAAUAAUAGCUUAUGAGUUAACUGCAAGCAGCUGCAUUGCUUUUGGACUUUAUGAAGGCCAACAACAAUUUGAAUGGACACUUUCAAUUAUUUAAUUACCAGAGACAGUUAAAGGAGCAACUUUGAUUAAUGCCCAUAUUUUGCACUGGUUCUAAACAUUCAUAAACAGAAGUGGAGGCAACUAUGUAGAUGUAAACAUGAUAGAUCUUACAAAAAGAACAGAUACUUAUUGCUGUUAGGAGAAUAGCUACAAGAGGCCUGGAGAAGCAGCCAGCUGUGCAAGGCUUCAUACAAUUCUCUUUCUGGGGAAGGGUGAGGAUGAGACAUGCUCAGGACAUGACUGACUCGUAAGGUAAUUUACAAUGUCUGGUUUGGGCUGAACUCUAAAGCAGCUCAUCAUAAAUGCUCUUGCAUAAUCACUUAACCAGCUCUCAUCAUCCUCCAGAUUAAGUUUUCCAUCUUCUAUCCUCAUCUACCUAGGGAAGGAUUACAAAAACAAAACAAACCCAACAAAAACAAAACAACAAAAAUCAACCAAAAUAACAGAGGAAAAAAAAAUCCAAAACAAACAUCCAACAAAACCCCCACAACAUGCACACAACCCUAUCAGGUCAAGCUGUUCAUUAUUUUAAACAUUUAGUCUUAAGAAGCUGAACUUCCUUCAACUUGGACUAGAUUCACACAACCAUCAAGCAGUAAUUUUUAAAUGCUACACUCCUUAAAACCCAAACAAAACCUCCAAAGUGAAUUAGAUGUGUUGCAAAUAUUCUGAGUUAAUCUAAAAAUACAUUUAAUUACAGUGUACAAUGAGUUGCACACACAGUAACCAUAUUUAAAAAACAAUGACACUUGCCUGACACAUAAUACACAAGAAACCCUUAGAAGAUCAGCUCCUUACCCUAGAGGGAGAAGGCAAGAAGCAGGAAAAGAACACAAGAGCUAAGGGCAAGCAGAAGAUUAGCUGAGGAUCAAGAGCUAUUCAAUUGGACUGAUGUAGUGUGUAAAAUUAAAUUAAAAUGCUGAAGUGUAAAAUUGCUGCUGCAUAUAAAAAAACCACAGUAAAACCAAAUAUUGCAACCUUCACAUUACAUAGUGCAAUCUCAGAUGUCAAUAGCAAGCUAGUAUAGCCAAAUAAUAGAUUAAAUAAUUUUUUAUCAGGAACCACUAGUGUCAAAACAUUAUUCCCUACAAAACUAGGUUAAAGUCCAUCUUCCACCAGGUAAACACACAAUUCAGCUCUAUAAUGACUAUAUCCAGCAGCUACAAUAAUAUCCAAUGAACCAAGCUGGCAACUCCCAUGUAGAUUUAAAAAAAAUCCAAAACCAACAAAACUCAAAAACCACAAAGGUCACAUACAAGACACUAAAAUGCAAGUCCUCACUGGGAAUAUAACCUAUUCAUGAGUAUUUGCUUCAUCACACAGUUAAAUAUUUAAGAUGAUCCAAUACUUGAGUUCCACAUCUAAUUCUCCCUUAAUGCACUUACUGAAAUAAUCUACUUUUCCUCUUCCUGUUAAACACAUUACUUACAGUUCAAUCAAAUUUAGACUUGAUUAUUCUGGCUGAUUUUGAUAUUUUGAAGAAGGGAAGAAGAGAGGGAAAAAACCACAAAAUCCUAACUAGGGGCUUGCUGCCAGCAGUUAUUCAAGACCUAGUUGGAUUUAAAUUACAGAUGUAAGUUACUAUUGAAGUUCAAAUAUUUAGGAAAAGUAGUUUUCAGAAUAUCUUGAAAGCAGACAUUGCAGUUGAUACUGCAAACACAGUAGGACCUUAAGCAUAACUCACUGUUAUGAAGCAAGGCUACUUCAAUUUUUACUGGACUUACACAUUUUUAGAUCUAAGUGCAUCAAUAAUUAGUUACUUACUAGAUUCUUCAGGCAUAUUGCUCUGAAAGCAGAUCCAUAAUCUAUUGAUUAAUAAUCUAAUAAUAACCUAACUCAUGGACUUUUAAUCACCUUAUACUUGGUCAUUCAGUACCUAAUAUGUAACAGAAGUGAUAGAGAAGUCUGAAAAAGCUAUGGUGUUUUAUGUCAGAUUUCUUUAAAAGAUAAUUCAUGAAAUUAGUUAAAUUUGAGAUGACCAAGUUUUUGCCUAGGAAAAUGUCCUCCUAUUCCUGAAUGCUUAUAUUAAUUGAACAGUAACUAAUUCUAGUUUAUCUUUUCCAUUACAAGAAAAAAAAA